rnacentral:rRNA from 1 species
UACGGAAGGCAGCAGUGGGGAAUAUUGCACAAUGGGCGCAAGCCUGAUGCAGCCAUGCCGCGUGUAUGAAGAAGGCCUUCGGGUUGUAAAGUACUUUCAGUCGUGAGGAAGGUGUUAAGGUUAAUAACCUUAGCAAUUGACGUUAGCGACAGAAGAAGCACCGGCUAACUCCGUGCCAGCAGCCGCGGUAAUACGGAGGGUGCGAGCGUUAAUCGGAAUUACUGGGCGUAAAGGGCACGCAGGCGGUUAAUUAAGUUGGAUGUGAAAUCCCCGGGCUUAACCUGGGAAUGGCAUUCAAGACUGGUUAGCUAGAGUCUUGUAGAGGGGGUAGAAUUCCAUGUGUAGCGGUGAAAUGCGUAGAGAUGUGGAGGAAAUACCGGUGGCGAAGGCGGCCCCCUGGACAAAGGACUGACGCUCAUGUGCGAAAAGUGUGGGGAGCAAACAGGGAUUAGAUACC